rnacentral:tRNA from 1 species
GCCCCCGUUGUCUAAUGGUCAUGACGUCAGACUUCUACGUUCCUCUACAAGAGCGUACGAUAUUCCCAUCUGGAGGUUGCGGGUUCGAGUCCCGCCGGGGGUU